ensembl:lncRNA
GAAAGGAGGUGACAGUCCAGUGACCAAAUAUUUAGUACUGCAGAUGCUGCUUGGUUUAAAGGUGAAAGUAAGAGUGAAGGCAUUGGAAAAGCUGUUAGUUCAGGUCUUAGUGAAUAAUAAUGACAGCUGUUUAUUAUAUCUCACUACAUUCAGUCAAGGUUCUACUAUAUCAAAAAGGUCUCGUAGAAAACAAAAAUAUGAAAGGAGCGGGAGAAGGCAGCAAAGCAAACACUAGACCAAUUUAAAAUUGCUAUCUUUUUGUUAAUGGUCACAAGCAUAAAUGAGUCACUGCAGAGAUGGCAGGGGAUUUUUAUAUUGCAAGUACAGUCAUGCUAGGUGUGAAGAUAUGCACUACAAAUGGAGAAAAGUGCUUUAAACACAGAUCUCUGCUUGAAGCUGUCCUCUUCUAGGAAAGUGACUGGGAAAGCUAAUAUGAUUAUAGUGGUAUCAGCGAAGAUGGAUUAAGAGAUAAUGAAGGACAGAACUCAGAGUCAGACAAUGCACAAACAUGAAACUGGACCAACUAAAAGAGGACACUACAAGAGAAUAUAGUAGAGGUUCACUCUCCUUUGUGAGAACGGGGAUUUAGAAGAGUAAAACAUGAAGACAAACAGGCACAUAGGAACCAAUAAUAUUAUUUGUGGUUAAAAGAGGCUAAUCCUCGAAGGCUGAAAUCAGUAAUUGUGCAGAGGCAUGACUGUGAGCAUAAUGCCAGUGAUGAACUACAUCAAGGAGAGCAACAGAGCCUCAGAAGUGCAGGAGAAGAGUUUUGCUUUGUAAUUUUUAUUUUAUUUUAUUUUUAUUUUUAUUUUAUUUUAUUUUAUUUUAUUUUAUUAUUUAUUUUGUCCUGGAAUGAGAGAGCUUUCCUUGCUUUGAACAAAAGCAUUGUUACCAUGAAUCAUCAGCAUAUCCCUAAUCAACCAUACAAGAGAAAGAUGCGCCAGGGUAAGUUUAGGUUGGAUACUGGGAAACACUUCUUUACAGAAAAGGUUGUUAAGCACUGGAAUAGGCUCCCCAGGGAGCUGGUUGAGUCACCAUCCCUGGAUGUGUUUAAAAACUGGAUGUGGUGCUCAGGGACAUGAUUUAGCGGAGGGUUGUUAGUUAGGGUAGUAUGGUUAGGUCAUGGUUGGACUAGAUGAUCUUUAAGGUCUUUUCCAAUCUGAGCACUUCUAUGAUUCUAUGAUUCUAAAACUGAGACAGAUGGUCCAAUACUGAAAUGAUGAACAGUCUUUAACUCCACACUAAAAUUUCACUGUAGUAGUCUCUUCAUUCUUCACUGUUGAAUGUCUUCCUUAGUUUUGUACUUGUGAGGGAUUGAUAAUGAUAUUUUAGCCUUCAAUGUCACUUUGUGAAUAUAACAUAACUUUGGGGAACAACAGAUCCAUGUUUUCAAUGUCUUGUCUCCCUCAUUAGGAAAUUAGACAAUGUUCUUGUCAAUGUCUCAGGAAGACGAUAAUGCAAUAAAAGGAAUGUAUUUAUCAAUCAC